UCCUUGAUGGUCCAGUGGUUAAGACUCUGCACUCUGACUGCAAGGGGCACAGGUUCGAUUCCUGGUGGGGAG
rnacentral:tRNA from 1 species